rnacentral:rRNA from 1 species
GGACAGAGCCAUAUCUCCCUGCAGUCCCCAUGUGGUUUCCCACUGAAGCUAAGCAGGGUUAAGCCUGGCCAGUACCUGGAUUGGAGACAUAGUCAGGCAUGGCAUGGUCACCCUGUGGU